ACCGGGUGUGGUGGUGUGCACCUGUAGUCCCAACUACUUGGGAGGCUGAGGUAGAAGGAUUGCUUUCGUCCAGGAGCUCUCAGCUAUAGUGCACUAUGCCGGUCAGGUGUCCACGCUAAAUUAAGCAUCAAUAUGGUGACCUCCCAGGAGCAGGGGACCACAAGGUUGCCUAAGGAGGGGUGAACCAGCCAAGUCAGAAACAGAGUAGGUCAAAACUACCAUUUUUAGGCCGGGCAUGGUAGCUCAUGCCUGUAAUCCCAGCACUUGGGAGGCCAAGGUGGGCAGAUCCCCUGAGGUCAGGAGUUCAAGACCAGCCUGGCCAACAUGGCGAAACCCCAUCUCUA
ensembl:misc_RNA Metazoa_SRP Metazoan signal recognition particle RNA